rnacentral:rRNA from 1 species
UACGUAGGCAGCGAGCGUUGUUCGGAGUUACUGGGCGUAAAGGGUGUGUAGGCGGUUGUUUAAGUUUGGUGUGAAAUCUCCCGGCUCAACUGGGAGGGUGCGGCGGGGACUGCCGGACUAGAGGCACUCAGAGGCCGGUGGAAUUCCCGGUGUAGUGGUGAAAUGCGUAGAGAUCGGGAGGAACACCAGUGGCGAAGGCGGCUGCCUGGACCUCUGCUGACGCUGAGGCGCGAAAGCGUGGGGAGCGAUCCGG